UACGGAGGGGACUAGCGUUGUUCGGAAUUACUGGGCGUAAAGCGCACGUAGGCGGAUUUGUAAGUCAGGGGUGAAAUCCCGGGGCUCAACCUCGGAACUGCCUUUGAUACUGCAAAUCUCGAGUCCGGAAGAGGUGAGUGGAAUUCCUAGUGUAGAGGUGAAAUUCGUAGAUAUUAGGAAGAACACCAGUGGCGAAGGCGGCUCACUGGUCCGGUACUGACGCUGAGGUGCGAAAGCGUGGGGAGCAACAGGG
rnacentral:rRNA from 1 species